CCUACGUGGCGCAGCAGUGAGGAAUAUUGGUCAAUGGGCGCGAGCCUGAACCAGCCAAGUAGCGUGAAGGAUGACUGCCCUACGGGUUGUAAACUUCUUUUAUAAAGGAAUAAAGUGAGGCACGUGUGCCUUUUUGUAUGUACUUUAUGAAUAAGGAUCGGCUAACUCCGUGCCAGCAGCCGCGGUAAUACGGAGGAUCCGAGCGUUAUCCGGAUUUAUUGGGUUUAAAGGGAGCGUAGAUGGGUUGUUAAGUCAGAUGUGAAAGUUUGCGGCUCAACCGUAAAAUUGCAAUUGAUACUGGCAGUCUUGAGUACAGUUGAGGUAGGCGGAAUUCGUGGUGUAGCGGUGAAAUGCUUAGAUAUCACGAGGAACUCCGAUUGCGAAGGCAGCUUACUAAACUGCCACUGACAUUGAUGCUCGAAAGUGUGGGUAUCAAACAGGAUUAGAUACCCCAGUAGUC
rnacentral:rRNA from 1 species